rnacentral:rRNA from 1 species
GACGAACGCUGGCGGCGUGCCUAAUACAUGCAAGUCGAGCGAAUCAUUAGGAGCUUGCUCCUUUUGGUUAGCGGCGGACGGGUGAGUAACACGUGGGCAACCUGCCUAUAAGACUGGGAUAACUUCGGGAAACCGGAGCUAAUACCGGAUAAUCCUUUUUCACACAUGUGGGAAAGCUGAAAGACGGUGCAAGCUGUCACUUAUAGAUGGGCCCGCGGCGCAUUAGCUAGUUGGUGAGGUAAUGGCUCACCAAGGCGACGAUGCGUAGCCGACCCGAGGGGGUGAUCGGCCACACUGGGACUGAGACACGGCCCAGAAUCAUACGGGAGGCAGCAGUAGGGAAUCUUCCGCAAUGGACGAAAGCCUGACGGAGCAACGCCGCGUGAACGAUGAAGGCCUUCGGGUCGUAAAGUUCUGUUGUUAGGGAAGAACAAGUACCGGAGUAACUGCCGGUACCUUGACGGUACCUAACCAGAAAGCCACGGCUAACUACGUGCCAGCCGCCGCCGUAACAC